UAAUACAGAGGGUGCAAGCGUUAAUCGGAAUUACUGGGCGUAAAGCGUGCGUAGGUGGAUGUUUAAGUCGAAUGUGAAAGCCCCGGGCUUAACCUGGGAAUUGCAUCCGAGACUGGACAUCUGGAGUAUGGUAGAGGAAAGUGGAAUUCCCGGUGUAGCGGUGAAAUGCGUAGAUAUCGGGAGGAACAUCAGUGGCGAAGGCGACUUUCUGGACCAAUACUGACACUGAGGCACGAAAGCGUGGGGAGCAAACAGGAUUAGAGACCCUGGUAGUCCACGCCCUAAACGAUGAGAACUGGACGUUGGGGGGCUUGUCCCCUUAGUGUCGAAGCUAACGCGUUAAGUUCUCCGCCUGGGGAGUACGGUCGCAAGAUUA
rnacentral:rRNA from 1 species